UACGGGGGGAGCAGGCGUUGUUCGGAUUUACUGGGCGUAAAGGGCGCGUAGGCGGCCACCGCAAGUCGACUGUGAAAUCUCCGGGCUUAACUCGGAAAGGUCAGCCGAUACUGCGGGGCUAGAGUGCAGAAGGGGCAACUGGAAUUCUCGGUGUAGCGGUGAAAUGCGUAGAUAUCGAGAGGAACACCUGCGGCGAAGGCGGGUUGCUGGGCUGACACUGACGCUGAUUGUGCGAAAGCUAGGGGAGCGAACGGG
rnacentral:rRNA from 1 species